rnacentral:rRNA from 1 species
GAUGAACGCUGGCGGCGUGCCUAAUACAUGCAAGUCGAGCGAACAGACUAAGAGCUUGCUCCUCUGACGUUAGCGGCGGACGGGUGAUUAACACGUGGAUAACCUACCUAUAAGACUGGGAUAACUUCGGGAAACCGGAUCUAAUACCGGAUAAUAUAUUGAACCGCAUGGUUCAAUAGAGAAAGACUGUUUUGCUGUCACUUAUAGAUGGAUCCGCGCCGCAUUAGCUAGUUGGUAAGGUAACGGCUUACCAAGGCGACGAUGCGUAGCCGACCUGAGAGGGUGGUCGGGCACAACGGAACUGAGAAAAGGUCCAGAAUCCUAAGGGAGGCAGGAGUAGGGAAUCUUCCGCAAUGGGCGAAAGCUUGACGGAGGAAAGCCGCGUGAGUGAAGAAGGGCUUCGGAUCGGAAAACCCUGUUAUUAGGGAAGAAAAACUGUGCAAGUAACUAUGCACGUCUUGACGGUACCUAAUCAGAAAGCCACGGCCAAAUACGUG